AUUGAACGCUGGCGGCAGGCCUAACACAUGCAAGUCGAACGAGUGGCGGACGGGUGAGUAAUGUCUGGGAAACUGCCUGAUGGAGGGGGAUAACUACUGGAAACGGUAGCUAAUACCGCAUACCAUCGGAUGUGCCCAGAUGGGAUUAGCUAGUAGGUGGGGUAAAGGCUCACCUAGGCGACGCGCCCUAGCUGGUCUGAGAGGAGGACCGGCCAAACUGGACCGGGGACACGGUCCAGACGCUUACGGGAGGAAGCAGUGGGAAAUAUUGGACAAUGGGCGCAAGCCUGAUGCAGCCAUGCGGCGUGUAUGAAGAGGGCCUUCGGGUUGUAAAGUACUUUCAGCGGGGAGGCGUUACCCGCAGAAGAAGCACCGGCUAACUCCGUGCCAGCAGCCGCGGUAAUAC
rnacentral:rRNA from 1 species